UCAUAUCAGUGAAAAAAAAGAUGAGAACGAAAGCAUAAUUCUAUAGAGGUAGAAAAUGAAAUCACUUAUGGAGAGUCAAUAGUAAGCAAAUCGAGAGCAAAAAACCCAAUUUCCUUUCGUCAUUAUACAAUUGAUGUUGCCUAUUUGGUUUUGGUAAUUUAUAUCGGCCGCAAAACUUAAUUUCUUUUUGUGCAUAUAAAAUUUUAAAAAUAAUUAAAAUGAGAUGUAAUACAUUAACUCUUCAACAAGGAUGAUAUAUUUAAGAGACCAAAAUUUGUAUUCAUCAUUUUAUAAUCGAGAAAAAUUGUAGUGUUGCAAAAUAUUAAAAUCAUUUCAUAAACAAAAUUAUUAUAAGAACUCAGUCCGCGUUAUCAUCUAAUCUAUAUUUAAAUCGUCAUGAUUAUUAAAUAAACACUACAUGAAAAAAUAAUAAAAAGUACAAUAUACAUAAGUGAUGUUGAGUUGGACGUAAUUUAAUAUUUGUUGUACCUAUUACCUAAUUCUCUCUUUUUCAAAAAAAGUAAAAGCAUUCUUUUUUUCUUUUCUUUUUUUGUAACAGUACAAGCAUUCUUAAAACAAGUUUUUUUCUUUGAGAGUUUGAUAAAACUAUUUUUUAAUUGGACUAUUUGAUCCACAAUAUAGGAGAUCAUGAUAGACUAUUAUUCUACAUGAUUUUGAUAGGGAAUAUGUGAGAAUAGAAGUCUAAAUCUCUAUUAAUGUGACUAUUUGACCUAAUAUAUAUUUUGACUAAAACGAACGAAAAAAAUCUGAAUUGGUACUGUUUAUGUGGUAACUAGUAUUAAAAGAAGAUGCUGUCUGAAUUAGCAAAACUGAUGCUUUGUUUGUUUGAAAAAAGUAUUGUCCAAGGAAAGUUCCUCAUAAAAGGUUGCCAAACAAAAGAAGAAACCAUUGUAUACUUAUUUUUCUCAAUCUCUUCAUCUUUUCAACAAAAAGGAAAAUUAAACACAAUAUGGUUUUGAAAAGUUACAUAUUAUAGUCAUUAGUCACUGGUUAAAAAAUCAUUUGAUUUUUUUUUUAAUUUGAAAAUAACUGUUUUUAAAUGGUUUAAUCUUUCAUAAUUAACAAAUCUAUAAUCUAAAAAUCAGUUCACAAUUACGAAUAUAAAUAGUGCAAUAUAUGAGCUGGUGAUAAAUACAUAAACUGACAACUAAAACAAUAUACUUUGUGACAUAUAUAGAUACACAGUCUUGGAAGAAUGAGUUAUUGCUUAUGAAUUAGAAUAAUUUCCAAAAUACUAAGAAAGAAGAAGACAACGUUGCUUUUGGUGUAAGAAAAAAAAAGUCAUUGACUUCGAUAUUUCUUUUCUGCUCUCUCUCCGUAGUUAACGUUUACGAAGUUGAAGCAGCAGCCGAAGAAGAAGACGACGACUCUUCUCUUUCCAGAUAUUGUGAUUAUCUCAACUCUUCUCUUGCAAUCAAUCUCUUUCUCGAGUUUCUGCUCUUGAAAAUUUCUGCUCAGAAGUAGGAGCUUUGCAUUCAUCAACGCUCUCUUUCACUGAAGAACAUAUGGCAGAAAAUGUUAAAGUGCAUGGAGAUGGAAGUGCAGAGCUGGUUAAAUCCAUGGGUGAUAAUAAAUAUGCUAGUCUCAUGAGACCAGCUGGUAGAUAUUACUCUGCUAUUAAAGAUGCUACGGUUUGUGGGAAGGGAAGAUA